GCUACCUGCAGUCGAGGGGUAACAGGGUCUAGUUUACUAGAUUGCUGACGACCGGCGCACGGGUGAGUAACGCGUAUACAAUUUGCCUUUUACUGGAGGAUAGCCCAGAGAAAUUUGGAUUAAUACUCCAUAGUAUUAUAGAGUCACCUGGCUUUAUAAUUAAAGUUCCGGCGGUAAGAGAUGAGUAUGCGUCCUAUUAGCUAGAUGGUAAGGUAACGGCUUACCAUGGCGACGAUAGGUAGGGGUCCUGAGAGGGAGAUCCCCCACACUGGUACUGAGACACGGACCAGACUCCUACGGGAGGCAGCAGUGAGGAAUAUUGGGCAAUGGAGGCAACUCUGACCCAGCCAUGCCGCGUGCAGGAAGACUGCCCUAUGGGUUGUAAACUGCUUUUAUACAGGAAGAAACUUACCCACGUGUGGGUAACUGACGGUACUGUAAGAAUAAGGACCGGCUAACUCCGUGCCAGCAGCCGCGGUAAUACGGAGGGUCCAAGCGUUAUCCGGAAUCAUUGGGCUUAAAGGGUCCGUAGGCGGGCGAUUAAGUCAGAGGUGAAAUCCCACAGCUUAACUGUGGAACUGCCUUUGAUACUGGUUGUCUUGAGUUAUAGUGAAGUAGAUAGAAUAUGUAGUGUAGCGGUGAAAUGCAUAGAUAUUACAUAGAAUACCGAUUGCGAAGGCAGUCUACUAACUGUAUACUGACGCUAAUGGACGAAAGCGUGGGGAGCGAACAGGAUUAGAUACCCUGGUAGUCCACGCCGUAAACGAUGGUCACUAGUUGUUGGGGCUUUAUGCCUCAGUGAUUAAGCGAAAGUGAUAAGUGACCCACCUGGGGAGUACGAUCGCAAGAUUGAAACUC
rnacentral:rRNA from 1 species